GCUUUCAGAUUGAGAGAUGAAAAAGUCUUUCCAUAACAUUUGCUAGAUUGAUUACAUUACGGAAUGUACGUGUGUGUGAAAACUGAGCACUGCUGACGACAUUACUAUCGAGCAAAGUGUGCGUAAGUUUGUUUUGUCGAGCGACAAACAAGACGUAGCAAAUUAGUGUCAACGACGAUAAUAUUCGAUGUUGUAUGCGGGCCGUAUGUUUCGCUAAAGGUCGUAUCGAUUUAAACAGCUUGUAACAGCAGUUAUGAGGCGAGGCACGAAAGACGAGAGAGAGAGAGAGAGAGAGAGAGAGAGAGAGAGAGACAAAAAAAGAUGAACCGACCUUCUUGCCACCUGUUAGGACGUCGUCGGCUUUUUGAGGUUCUUGCUUGUCCAUCGCGACGUGAUCCGCACCACCUGCUGCAAUGAGACCUUGAAUUUCCUCAACGGUCAUCUGCCGCGUAAUCAUAUCGCCCUUUUCGUCAUUAUUUUUCAGAUACUCAACGACCAAAAAUAUCAAACCAAUUUGUCCGCAAGUACAGUGAUGAAAAACGGCGGCAAAGAGGAAGAUGAGAUUGAAAUAUUGUCGGAGACUCGGCUCAUCAGUGGAAGGAAAUACGAGGAAAUGUGAUUGAUGAGACAGGCACUGUGAUAUAUUAUACUUUACAGUUAAUAAAUUUCAACUGUUUUCCAGAUGAACUCUUUUUACCUGCAAUAUAUAUCGAUUUACAAAUAGCGUAAUAAACGGAUUGAGAUCAGCUGGAAAAAUGUUGAAAACCAACGACCAGUUCACUAAAAUUAUAAGAGUUCUCCCGAUUAUUUUACGAUACGCACGCUGCUGAAAUCUUCGAUAAUUGUAUAACAUCGUAUCCUAAUUUGCGAAAAAGUAAAAAAUUGCUCAACAAUGAUACAAAUGUAAAUGUUACAUAUACAACCUUGGCCAAAAUUAUUAAGCACCCUCAUAAUCAUUAUAUUAAAUCUAAUGCCAGGAAAGACUUCUAUUGUUUAAAAGUUGUUUAUUAGAGUGUUCAUUAUGAAGUCGUUAGAGCUAAGAAAUGGUUUAUUUCUUUCAAAAUAUAAAUGUUACUUUGAAAAAAGUAUUUUAAUAGUCUAAUAAUUUUGGCCAAGGCUGUAAGUAUCUAUUUUUGUCAAAUUAAUAAUGUAUUUCAAUUUUAUGCAGAUACUCAAGAUUCCAACGAUAGUAGAGAGCACACGGAUAAAAGAAAAUUGCUGAUCAUCAGGAAUGUGACCGCAUAUUUCAUUAGAAGACAAAAUAGAAAAUUUGCGAGUCACAACUGUCGGUGCGUCCACUUUACGUUGCACGUUAAACACCACGGAUAACUUGAAUGGUACACACGUUUCCGUUGUACAAGCUA